CAAGGGCCUGACACUCUUUGAUAGAGAAAGAUAGUCUUAUUGCGAUUCCUAUAAGAGGAAAGAGAAAAUAGUGCAAUGCUUUGUCUUUAUCACCGACCGGGUUUUUUUUCAUGGUCGGGUUAUGGCAGCUUAGGAAGGAGGCUGAUGGCGAUAUACAGAAAUUUAUAAGAGUGAAAGAGACAAAAUCCCGCAAGAUGCCAUACAUUAAACUGUCAAUCAUAUUGUCGAGAGUGCUAGUAAACAAUGUGGUUUUCUUAUUGUAGAAGUUUUAUAAAGGGAAUGAUUGUGUUUAUUAAGUAUUUAAUGGAGGUGUAAGAAGUUUUUACGUACAAUUAACAUGGUGGGGGUGUUCAGUGGUUGCCUACAAAAGCAAUAGCUUGCGAAAAUAAGCGGGUGUAACAUUUCAUGCCUUUCCGACGGAGGAUGAAAUUGUUAAAGAAUGGAUUGCGGGAGCUGGAAAAUCAAAUUGGAUGCCACACAAAUACUCGCGUAUUUGUUCCAAACAUUUUGAACAACAUUGUGUCCCCAAACUGGGCAAACGAACUUUCAUCGAAAAGUUUUCUUUUCCAACCUUGUUCAUACACGAGAGGAGAGAGAACAUUCUUUUCUUCAUCAUGUCAUGGAAAUCGUCCAUUCGUGCACGUCGUCGUCGUGGCAGUCUCAACAGCAUUCUGAAGCUAUUAUUGAACUUCAUAUAAUUGAUCCACAGGUUACAAGUGUAUGUGUAAAUAAAGUUUUCUUGACCCCCACAGUAUGUACAACGCGCAACACGUAAGAUUUUUUAUUUAAACAUAAUUAUUCGGUUUUAAGUAACAGUUUUAAUGUAAAUGACUAUGUUAGCUUAAAAUCAUAUACUGCGUAUCUACUGAGGUGUCGCUCAAGCACACCGUCAAGAACCUUCGCUGCAAUAGGGUUGUUUCCAUUUUGAAAUGCUUGUAUUAUAUAAUAUAUAUAUAUAUAUAUAUAUUUACCAAAUUAUGGCCUAAAAUUCAAUUUAUUUGUGUUGUUCUCAAGUAAAAGGUACCACAUUGUCGCUUAUCAUAAGAACGCUCUUACAGGUUGUACGUAUAGAGAGCAAGCAAAUUGUAUCCUUAUGGUAAGCGACUAUGUGGUACCUUUUA